rnacentral:rRNA from 1 species
UACACGUGGAUAAUCUGCCCUGCACAGGGGGACAACAGCUAGAAAUGGCUGCUAAUACCGCAUAAGCCUACAGCCUCGCAUGAGGGAGUAGGAAAAGAAAUUCGGUGCAGGAUGAGUCCGCGUCUGAUUAGCUAGUUGGAGGGGUAAAAGCCCACCAAGGCAACGAUCAGUAGCCGGCCUGAGAGGGCGACCGGCCACAUUGGGACUGAGACACGGCCCAAACUCCUACGGGAGGCAGCAG